rnacentral:sRNA from 2 species
CAGGCCGGUCUUCUGACUUGGCGUCAUCCGUCUGCCGCAGCCUUCCCGGCAAAAGCCAGUGGCAUGGUAAAGCGGCGGGCGUCGGCCUUACAGCGUUGGGCACGUUCCGGUCUUGCACCGGAUUCCCGAUUCUCCCGC